CAGGCCUAAUACAUGCAAGUCGGACGGGAUCCAUCGGAGAGCUUGCUCGAAGAUGGUGAGAGUGGCGCACGGGUGCGUAACGCGUGAGCAACCUACCUCUAUCAGGGGGAUAGCCUCUCGAAAGAGAGAUUAACACCGCAUAAUAUAAUCUACCGGCAUCGGGGGAUUAUUAAAUAUUUAUAGGAUAGAGAUGGGCUCGCGUGACAUUAGCUAGUUGGUAGGGUAACGGCUUACCAAGGCGACGAUGUCUAGGGGCUCUGAGAGGAGAAUCCCCCACACUGGUACUGAGACACGGACCAGACUCCUACGGGAGGCAGCAGUAAGGAAUAUUGGUCAAUGGGCGGAAGCCUGAACCAGCCAUGCCGCGUGCAGGAUGACUGCCCUAUGGGUUGUAAACUGCUUUUGUCCAGGAAUAAACCUUUCUACGUGUAGAGAGCUGAAUGUACUGGAAGAAUAAGGAUCGGCUAACUCCGUGCCAGCAGCCGCGGUAAUACGGAGGAUCCGAGCGUUAUCCGGAUUUAUUGGGUUUAAAGGGUGCGUAGGCGGCCUAUUAAGUCAGGGGUGAAAUACGGUGGCUCAACCAUCGCAGUGCCUUUGAUACUGACAGGCUUGAAUCCAUUUGAAGUGGGCGGAAUAAGACAAGUAGCGGUGAAAUGCAUAGAUAUGUCUUAGAACUCCGAUUGCGAAGGCAGCUCACUAAGCUGGUAUUGACGCUGAUGCACGAAAGCGUGGGGAUCGAACAGGAUUAGAUACCCUGGUAGUCCACGCCCUAAACGAUGAUAACUCGAUGUU
rnacentral:rRNA from 1 species